rnacentral:rRNA from 1 species
UUUAAAUCAGCUAUGGUUCCUUAGAUCGUACCUACUACAUGGAUAACUGUAGUAAUUCUAGAGCUAAUACAUGCCACUAUGCCCUGACCCGCAAGGGAACGGGUGGAUUUAUUAGAACAGAACCAACCGUGAGGUAGCUUCGGCUGCUUCCGUUGCACUCUGUGAUGACUCUGGAUAACUUCACUGAUCGCAGUCGGCCUUGUGUCGGCGACGGAUCUUUCAAAUGUCUGCCCUAUCAAUUUUCGAUGGUAGGUGACCUGCCUACCAUGGUGAUAACGGGUAACGGGGAAUCAGGGUUCGAUUCCGGAGAGGGAGCCUGAGAAACGGCUACCACUUCCAAGGAAGGCAGCAGGCACGCAAAUUACCCAAUCCCGGCACGGGGAGGUAGUGACGAAAAAUACGGAUACGGGACUCGUAUGAGGCUCCGUAAUUCGAAUGAGUACAAUUUAAAUCCUUUAACGAGGAUCAACUGGAGGGCAAGUCUGGUGCCAGCAGCCGCGGUAACUCCAGCUCCAGAAGCGUAUAUUAAAGUUGUUGCAGUUAAAAAGCUCGUAGUUGGAUCUGGGUCGUAUGGCUACGUGCCGUUGCUUGUAUUCUCGACUUGGUCAAGACUAGGUCAAGUUUGCGGGUCGGUGUCGUGGCUGUGCAGCCUUUCUGCCGUGUCUGUUUCGACAGGUGUUGAUUUAAUCGAUGGGCUUGUCUCGUCGGUUGGUUGACAUGCUUCCA